rnacentral:rRNA from 1 species
CACCGCGGUUAUACGAGAGGCCCAAGUUGAAAGACAUCGGCGUAAAGAGUGGUUAAGAGAAAAUUAAUAGUAAAGCCGAACGCUUGCAAGGCUGUUAUACGCAUUCGAAAGUAAGAAGAUCAACAACGAAAGUAGCUUUAUAACCCUGAACCCACGAGAGCCUGGAAA